rnacentral:rRNA from 1 species
AUUGAACGCUGGCGGCAGGCCUAACACAUGCAAGUCGAGCGAGCGGCGGACGUGUGAGUAAUGUAUGGGGAUCUGCCCGAUAGCGGGGGAUAACUACUGGAAACGGUAGCUAAUACCGCAUACUAUCGGAUGAACCCAUAUGGGAGUAGCGAGUAGGUGGGGUAAAGGCUCACCUAGGCGACGAUCUCUAGCUGGUCUGAGCGGAUGAUCAGCCACACUGGGACUGAGACACGGCCCAGACUCCGACGGGAGGCAGCAGGGGGGAAUAUUGCACAAUGGGCGCAAUCCAGAUGCAGCCAUGCCGCGUGUAUGAAGAAGGUCGUAGGGUUUUAAAGUACUUUCAUCGGGGAGGCGUUACCCGCAGAGGAAGCACCGGCUAACUCCGUGCCAGCAGCCGCGGUAAUUC